rnacentral:rRNA from 3 species
GUGUGCUGGUGAAGUGUUUGGAUCGGUAUCAAUGGGGGGCAACCUCUGUUGGUACUGAGAAGAACAUUAAACCCUCCCACCUAGAGGAAGGAGAAGUCGUAACAAGGUUUCCGUAGGUGAACCUGCGGAAGGAUCAUUG